AGGUGGUGUCCUUUUCAGCUUGGAGGAGGGAGCCUCCUUCUGGAACCAGAUGUUGACCUGGAGAAUCUUCUUCGCUUCCAUGAUCUCGACCUUCACCUUGAACUUCUUCAUGAGUAUCUACCACAACAAGCCGGGAGAUUUUAGUAACCCAGGUCUCAUCAACUUUGGACGCUUUGACAACGAUAGCACGGAGUACUACCUGUAUGAGAUUCCUCUGUUUAUCGUCAUGGGAG